UGGAACGACAAAGCUACGAGUAACGUCCAAU
rnacentral:piRNA from 1 species